GAUGAACGCUGGCGGCGUGCCUAAUACAUGCAAGUCGAGCGAACAGACGAGGAGCUUGCUCCUCUGACGUUAGCGGCGGACGGGUGAGUAACACGUGGAUAACCUACCUAUAAGACUGGGAUAACUUCGGGAAACCGGAGCUAAUACCGGAUAAUAUAUUGAACCGCAUGGUUCAAUAGUGAAAGACGGUUUUGCUGUCACUUAUAGAUGGAUCCGCGCCGCAUUAGCUAGUUGGUAAGGUAACGGCUUACCAAGGCGACGAUGCGUAGCCGACCUGAGAGGUUGACCGCCAAACUGGAACUGAGAACCGGGCCCGACUCCUACGGGGAGGCACAGGAGGGAAUCCUCCGGAAUGGGGCAAAGCCUGACGGAGCAACGCCGCGUGAAUUAUUAAGGUCUUCGGAUCCUAAAACUCUGUUAUUAGGGGAGAACCAAAUUUUAAGUAACCUUGCACCUCUUGACGGUACCUAAUCAGAAAGCCCCGGCUAACUUCGUG
rnacentral:rRNA from 1 species